rnacentral:lncRNA from 1 species
AAAUGACUGACUGAGGUUUGAACCCAACUCAUUUGACUUCAACACUUACAGAAUUGACUACUCAGAUAAGAGAGAGCCGUCUCUCAGGGAAAUAUGGAAAAGCAAUACUCCACAAACCUCAACGGCAAGAAGAGUUCCUCCAAAGUGGCCUUCAGAUGAAGAAGUUGAACUCUUCGCUCCUUCUGCACUGUGCCUUCCUGAACACUGCCAUGCUUCCAUCUUGAUGGUAAUGGACUGAACUUCUAUGUACCUGUAAGCCAGCCCCAAUUAAAUGUUGUCCUU